rnacentral:rRNA from 1 species
CCCCCCGUAGGCUGAACCAGCCAAGUAGCGUGAGGGAAGACUGCCCUAUGGGUUGUAAACCUCUUUUAUGCGGGGAUAAAGGUGUCCACGUGUGGAUGUUUGCAGGUACCGCAUGAAUAAGGACCGGCUAAUUCCGUGCCAGCAGCCGCGGUAAUACGGAAGGUCCGGGCGUUAUCCGGAUUUAUUGGGUUUAAAGGGAGCGUAGGCCGGUCUUUAAGCGUGCCGUGAAAUUUUGUGGCGCAACCAUGAGAGUGCGGCGCGAACUGGAGACCUUGAGUGCGCGGAAGGCAGGCGGAAUUCGUGGUGUAGCGGUGAAAUGCUUAGAGAUCACGAAGAACCACGAUUGCGAAGGCAGCCUGCCGCAGCGUUACUGACGCUGAAGCUCGAAAGCGCGGGUAUCGAACAGGAUUAGAUACCCUUGUAGUC